rnacentral:tRNA from 1 species
UUUAGGGGUGUAGUAUAAGUGUACGCUUUAUUUACACUAAAGAAGCYUUCUGUAGAAGCGCCUCU